rnacentral:tRNA from 1 species
GGGAGAUUAGCUUAGCCUGGUUAUAGCGCGGGUCUUAUAAACCCGAGGUCCGGGGUUCGAAGCCCCGAUUUCCCA